rnacentral:rRNA from 1 species
GAUGAACGCUGGCGGCGUGCCUAAUACAUGCAAGUCGAGCGAACAGAUGAGGAGCUUGCUCCUCUGACGUUAGCGGCGGACGGGUGAGUAACACGUGGAUAACCUACCUAUAAGACUGGGAUAACUUCGGGAAACCGUAGCUAAUACCGGAUAAUAUUUUGAACCGCAUGGUUCAAUAGUGAAAGACGGUUUUGCUGUCACUUAUAGAUGGAUCCGCGCCGCAUUAGCUAGUUGGUAAGGUAACGGCUUACCAAGGCAACGAUGCGUAGCCGACCUGAGAGGGUGAUCGGCCACACUGGAACUGAGACACGGUCCAGACUCCUACGGGAGGCAGCAGUAGGGAAUCUUCCGCAAUGGGCGAAAGCCUGACGGAGCAACGCCGCGUGAGUGAUGAAGGUCUUCGGAUCGUAAAACUCUGUUAUUAGGGAAGAACAAAUGUGUAAGUAACUAUGCACGUCUUGACGGUACCUAAUCAGAAAGCCACGGCUAACUACGUG